rnacentral:lncRNA from 1 species
CCAGGGGAUACAAGAGCAUCCUCAAUAUCGUUCCUCUGUCAUCUGUCCUGUCUUUCUAUCUUUCUCUCUCUCUGUCUUUUUCUGCGGUUCAAUUGCUUUCCCGACAGUGUUGUGAGAUUUGUUUCUGUCGGUCAGUUUCAUUCCUUCCUUUCCCUCACUUUUAGGGGUGUCUCACUGAAACCUCUCCACUGUGUCAACUCUCUCACUCUAUUUCUCACUCUAUUUCUCUCUCACCAGCUGUCUCCCUCUCCCUCUCUCCAUCUCUUUUUUUCUCUCUCACUCUCACCAGUUAUCUCCCUCCAAUACACCUUGCCUUUUCUCUCCCUCUCUCUCUCUCUCUCUCUCACUCUUUCUAUCUCUCUCAUGCUUUCUCUCUCUCUCUCUCACCAACUCUCUCCCUCCAGUACACCUUGCCUUCCCCCUCACUCUCUCUCUCUCUCUCUCCCUCUCUCUCACCUGCUCUCUCCCUCCAGUACACCAUGCCUUCUCUCUCUCUCUCUCUCACCAGUUAUCUACCUCCAGUACACCUUGCCUUCUCCCUCACUCUCUCUCUCUCCCUCACUCUCUCUCUCUCUCUCACCAACUCUCUCCCUCCAGUCCACCUUGCCUUCUCCCUCUCUCUCUCUCUCUCUCUCUCUCUCACACACACCAGCUCUCUCCCUCCAGUACACCUUGCCUUCUCUCUCUCUCUCUCUCUCUCUCUCUGACUUUCACUGGAUCCAUUUGUUCCUGUCUUUUUGAUUCUUUCCUUCUUCUCACUUUUUGGAUCUCUCCUGAACCUCUCUACUGUCUCAACUCUCUCUCUCUCUCUCUCUCUCUCUCUCUCUCACCAGCUCUCUCCCUCCAGCAAACCUUGCCUUCUCCCUCACUCUCUCUCUCUCUCUCACCAGCUCUCUCCCUCCAGUACACUUUGCCUUCUCUCUCACUCUCUCACCUUCUCUCUCUCUCUCUCUCACCCUCUCUCUCUCUGUCUCUUUCUCUCACCAGUUCUCCGUCUCGUGCACCUCUGUUUCCCAGCGAGUUCCUCCCCCAUUGUGUU